rnacentral:rRNA from 1 species
GACGAACGCUGGCGGCGUGCUUAACACAUGCAAGUCGAACGGAAAGGCCCUGCUUUUGUGGGGUGCUCGAGUGGCGAACGGGUGAGUAACACGUGAGUAACCUGCCCUUGACUUUGGGAUAACUUCAGGAAACUGGGGCUAAUACCGGAUAGGAGCUCCUGCUGCAUGGUGGGGGUUGGAAAGUUUCGGCGGUUGGGGAUGGACUCGCGGCUUAUCAGCUUGUUGGUGGGGUAGUGGCUUACCAAGGCUUUGACGGGUAGCCGGCCUGAGAGGGUGACCGGCCACAUUGGGACUGAGAUACGGCCCAGACUCCUACGGGAGGCAGCAGUGGGGAAUAUUGCACAAUGGGCGGAAGCCUGAUGCAGCAACGCCGCGUGCGGGAUGACGGCCUUCGGGUUGUAAACCGCUUUCGCCUGUGACGAAGCGUGAGUGACGGUAAUGGGUAAAGAAGCACCGGCUAACUACGUGCCAGCAGCCGCGGUGAUACGUAGGGUGCGAGCGUUGUCCGGAUUUAUUGGGCGUAAAGGGCUCGUAGGUGGUUGAUCGCGUCGGAAGUGUAAUCUUGGGGCUUAACCCUGAGCGUGCUUUCGAUACGGGUUGACUUGAGGAAGGUAGGGGAGAAUGGAAUUCCUGGUGGAGCGGUGGAAUGCGCAGAUAUCAGGAGGAACACCAGUGGCGAAGGCGGUUCUCUGGGCCUUUCCUGACGCUGAGGAGCGAAAGCGUGGGGAGCGAACAGGCUUAGAUACCCUGGUAGUCCACGCUGUAAACGGUGGGUACUAGGUGUGGGGUCCAUUCCACGGGUUCCGUGCCGUAGCUAACGCUUUAAGUACCCCGCCUGGGGAGUACGGCCGCAAGGCUAAAACUCAAAGGAAUUGACGGGGCCCCGCACAAGCGGCGGAGCAUGCGGAUUAAUUCGAUGCAACGCGUAGAACCUUACCUGGGUUUGACAUGGAUCGGGAGUGCCCAGAGAUGGGUGUGCCUCUUUUGGGGUCGGUUCACAGGUGGUGCAUGCCUGUCGUCAGCUCGUGUCGUGAGAUGUUGGGUUAAGUCCCGCAACGAGCGCAACCCUUGUUCACUGUUGCCAGCACGUUAUGGUGGGGACUCAGUGGAGACCGCCGGGGUCAACUCGGAGGAAGGUGGGGAUGACGUCAAGUCAUCAUGCCCCUUAUGUCCAGGGCUUCACGCAUGCUACAAUGGCUGGUACAGAGAGUGGCAAGCCUGUGAGGGUGAGCGAAUCUCGGAAAGCCGGUCUCAGUUCGGAUUGGGGUCUGCAACUCGACCUCAUGAAGUCGGAGUCGCUAGUAAUCGCAGAUCAGCAACGCUGCGGUGAAUACGUUCCCGGGGCU